rnacentral:rRNA from 1 species
UGGGGGAUAUUGCACAAUGGGCGAAAGCCUGAUGCAGCGACGCCGCGUGGGGGAUGAAGGCCUUCGGGUUGUAAACUUCUUUUGCUCUGAACAAGGCGCACCAUGGGGUGUGUUGAGUGUAGGGGUUGAUUAGCGCCGGCUAACUACGUGCCAGCAGCCGCGGUAAUACGUAGGGCGCGAGCGUUGUCCGGAAUUAUUGGGCGUAAAGGGCUUGUAGGUGGCUGGUUGCGUCUGUCGUGAAAGCUCAUGGCUUAACUGUGGGUUUGCGGUGGGUACGGGCUGGCUUGAGUGCAGUAGGGGAGGCUGGAAUUCAUGGUGUAGCGGUGGAAUGCGCAGAUAUCAGGAGGAAUACCGGUGGCGAAGGCGGGUCUCUGGGCUGUUACUGACACUGAGGAGCGAAAGCGUGGGGAGCGAACAGG